GUCUCUUCAAACUUUACUCUUCUGUGAUUCUCUUAUUCUAAUCCUGAAAAUAUCAUAGAAUCAAAGAGUUGUAGAGUUAGAAGGGUC